rnacentral:rRNA from 1 species
UACGUAGGGGGCAAGCGUUGUCCGGAAUCAUUGGGCGUAAAGAGCGCGUAGGCGGCCCUGUAAGUCCGCUGUGAAAGUCCAGGGCUCAACCCUGGAAUGCCGGUGGAAACUGUCGGGCUGGAGUCCGGAAGAGGCGAGUGGAAUUCCUGGUGUAGCGGUGAAAUGCGCAGAUAUCAGGAGGAACACCGAUGGCGAAGGCAGGUCUCUGGGCCGAUACUGACGCUGAGGAGCGAAAGCGUGGGGAGCGAACAGG